AUACGUAGGUGGCAAGCGUUGUCCGGAAUUAUUGGGCGUAAAGCGCGCGCAGGCGGUCCUUUAAGUCUGAUGUGAAAGCCCACGGCUCAACCGUGGAGGGUCAUUGGAAACUGGGGGACUUGAGUGCAGAAGAGGAAAGUGGAAUUCCAAGUGUAGCGGUGAAAUGCGUAGAGAUUUGGAGGAACACCAGUGGCGAAGGCGACUUUCUGGUCGGGAACUGACGCUGAGGCGCGAAAGCGUGGGGAGCAAACAGGAUUAGAUACCCGGGUAGUCCACGCCGUAAACGAUGAGUGCUAAGUGUUGGGGGGUUUCCGCCCCUCAGUGCUGCAGCUAACGCAUUAAGCACUCCGCCUGGGGAGUACGGUCGCAAGACUGAAACUCAAAGGAAUUGACGGGG
rnacentral:rRNA from 1 species